UCCUGUGGCACCUGUGGCACCUGUGGCACAUACAGCCAUCGGGGGGGCGGUUGGGGUAAGAUGGGGCCAUGGGGUGGUGAGAGUCACCUUAUGGCCACGGGGACCCCUGGGGGCACCCCGUGCCUGAGAGCCUGGGGAUCCCUAGGAUCUGUCUUGUCCUUUGGGGUCAGGCCCUGUCCUUUGGGGACACAUCCUGUCCUUUGGGGACAUGUCAAGUCCUUUAGGGUCAGGCCCUGUCCUUUGGGGACACAUCAUGUCCUUUGGGGACACAUCAUGUCCUUUGGGGACCUGUCUUGUUCUUUGGGGUCAUGUCCUGUCCUUUGGGGACACAUCCUGUCCUUUGGGGACAUGUUAAGUCCUCUGGGGACCUGUCCUGUCCUUUGGGGUCAUGUCCUGUCCUUUGGGAACACAUCAUGUCCUUUGGGGACCUGUCCUGUCCUUUGGGGUCAUGUCCUGUCCUUUGGGGACCUGUCCUGUCCUUUGGGGUCAUGUCCUGUCCUCUGGGGACCUGUCCUGUCCUUUGGGGUCUUGUCCUGUCCUUUGGGGUCAUGUCCUAUCCUUUGGGGACACAUCAUGUCCUUUGGGGACCUGUCCUGUCCUUUGGGGUCAUGUCCUGUCCUUUGGGGACACAUCCUGUCCCUUGGGGACAUGUUAAGUACUCUGGGGACCUGUCCUGUCCUUUGGGGUCAGGCCCUUUGGGGACACAUCCCCUCCUUUGGGGUACAGCUCAUAUCCCAAAGAGCUCCUGCCUUUUGGGGACACCUCUUGAGGUCCCCAAGGUUCACCAACGACACCAAACGUCUCCCGGAGACGGGGCUCAGCCCAGGGCCGAAAGCUUUGUGGCACAGCCCUGGCGACGUCCCCCAGCCUCAGCGUCCCCUUUGUCC